CAGCUUGUGAACAAGGUGCUCUGCCAGCC
rnacentral:piRNA from 1 species